GAAGACAGAAAUAAAACUAAAAGCUAAUUCUCUCUGGGCUUGGAGAGGAAGGAAUAUCAGAGAAGCAGAGAAGAGAAAAAAGCUUAGAAAGCAGGAAGGAAGCUGAAAGCAUUUGGAAGACAUCAUGAACUCUUUGAAGGCAGAAACUAAAUGAAAUCCACCUUCAUAUUUACAGGGACCAGCACAAUCUCUAGAAUAGAAUCAGUGCUCAAAUCAAUAUUUCUUUUAAAGAAUAAGUGAAUGAAUAAAUAAAUGAAUGCAAAUGGAAGA
rnacentral:lncRNA from 1 species